GGCUGAGACUCUAUCUAAUCUGUCAGAAGAAGAGCAGGAGUGUGGUUGUGAAGUUUAACGUUGGUAGUCCCUAGAGAAGACGUUGGUAAUUUUAUGGCUCAGAUUAGAACCCAAAUUGAAACGAACUUUCCAAGUU